rnacentral:rRNA from 1 species
UACGUAGGGGGCAAGCGUUAUCCGGAUUUACUGGGUGUAAAGGGAGCGUAGACGGCAGGGCAAGUCUGGAGUGAAAGGCAGGGGCCCAACCCCUGGACUGCUCUGGAAACUGUCCGGCUGGAGUGCAGGAGAGGUAAGUGGAAUUCCUAGUGUAGCGGUGAAAUGCGUAGAUAUUAGGAGGAACACCAGUGGCGAAGGCGGCUUACUGGACUGUAACUGACGUUGAGGCUCGAAAGCGCGGGGAGCAAACAGG